AUAGCAUCUAAGGUUGGAAGCCUAGGGAACGCUCAGGUAAUGCAGCUACGCCCUACCCUGAAAGCCUCUUCAGUGCUGUACAUUUUCUUUAAAAUGUGAAUGUUAGUUUUAUUUUCCUAGUUGCUUUAGGCAGUUAUACCACACUCUGUGCAUGGUCCCUUGUUAGAUUUAUGGAGGUAGUUAAAAGGGAAAAUGUUGCUCUGUUUUUUUCUGUGUUGCGGUCUUAUUUAGGCUUCUUUGGACUGGUUAAAAUCUAUAUAUGAAAUUGAUAUAAUUAACAUAUAGCUGGAAAUAUUUGGUGUUCUCACACUUCAUAAGAAAGUUCAGCUUCUAUAACUUGUUUCUUUCCUAUCUUUUCCCAAAAAAUACAGCCUGGUUUUCCACUUCUGUCAGUGUAGUUUCUGGUAGGUAUUUACUGAUGUGAUAUUAUACAAAUACCUGUUUUUUCCCAUGACCUGGAGGGGUGAGAGGCAGUAGUGUACAGAGAAGCCUCUUUCUUUUUGACUUUUAUAUCUAAUUCUAUUCUAUCCAAAUAGACUUCUUGGGAGACUGUAGGGGGAAAGAAGAAAAACCUUGGAAAAGAAAGUUCAGAAAACAAAGAAAACAGAGAAAAACGAGGGGACAGAGAAGUGAGUCAUGGACGGGGAAGUUCCAACAGAAGGGGAAGAGGAGGCAACCGUUGCCGAGAGUGUAGAGAUGAAGAGAAUGGAGUGGACAACAGUCAAGGAGACAAGCCUUCAGACCGUGGAAAACGUGGCCGUGGGAGAGGUGAGAUGGUGGCAUUGUUGUGGGACUGGCCCUGAUUUCAUUUCCUGAAAUGGAAUCCCCCCCCCCAUGUGUUUACUUAAAAACUUAAGCAUUUGGUUAUCCUUUGAUUCCAUAAGCACUUCAGCCACUUUUAAUUUAGGUACUUGCCAUCCCCCAUAGCCCUUCUCAUCGUUUGGUCUUAGAGUGACUUAAAGGUGAUUUAUAUCAAUUAUUUUUGCAAUUUUUUGUGUGGUAGGCUGGUGUGCUCUGGCUAUCGAGAGCUGUUUUCCCAGAUCAACUUCCAGGCCACCAUUAUUCGG
rnacentral:lncRNA from 1 species